rnacentral:rRNA from 1 species
UUUUUGGAGAGUUUGAUCUUGGCUCAGGACGAACGCUGGCGGCGUGCCUAAUACAUGCAAGUCGAGCGCGGGAAGCAGACUGAUUCUUUCGAGAUGACGUUUGUGGAACGAGCGGCGGA